rnacentral:ncRNA from 2 species
AUUAUAGUUAAAGCGCCCGAACUUAAGUGGAAAGCAUUUAAGUUGACGAGGAUGGGGAGUAUCGAAUCUUCGGCGGAUGCCCCACGGUAAAACGCACUACCGUUAACGAUUGGUAAAGGCAGAAAGUGAUUUCUGUUACAAACUCAAUCUGGUGUUAAAA